UACAGAGGUCCCAAGCGUUGUUCGGAUUCAUUGGGCGUAAAGGGUGCGUAGGCGGCGCGUUAAGUCGGGUGUGAAAUCUCGGAGAUUAACUCCGAAACUGCAUUCGAUACUGCCGUGCUUGAGGACUGGAGAGGAGACUGGAAUUUACGGUGUAGCGGUGAAAUGCGUAGAUAUCGUAAGGAAGACCAGUGGCGAAGGCGGGUCUCUGGACAGUUCCUGACGCUGAGGCACGAAGGCCAGGGGAGCAAACGGG
rnacentral:rRNA from 1 species